AUGGUUAGCACCCACACACACACACACACACACACACACACACACAAGCACACACUUAACCAGGAGAGAAAUUACUCAGGGGUGAAAGGGGACUGCUUCAAGCUGCCACCUGGGCCAAUUGUAAAAAAAAAAAAAAAAAAAAACGGCCACAUUUUGCCAACAAUUACCUUGUGGGGAAUAUUCAUUUACUGACUCUGAUUACCUGUAGGUCUGAAAAUUACAAAACACACUGUCCUAUCUCCUUCAAUUAUUAAUUUGUUUUCAGUUCUUAUCAGCCAAUUAUACAGCCGGCUGUAGAGUAGGCUACUACGUAUUUCAGCUUGUUCAUCAAUGAAGGAUCGAUAUUUCAGCUGUCUGUCUGUGAGAAAACAUUAGGGGGUGCAGCUGAUGUGUUACAUAGCCCACCUCUGAGUCUGAGCUGUCUCUGUCCAGCAUUCUAUAUUCCCCUAGCCUGGUCCAAGACGCGAUUGUGCUGUCCUGCCUACUCCUAUGGUCCUUCGGGGUUGGCAAGACAACACAAACAGAUCUGGGACCAGGCUAGUAAUUCUCCUCAAAGUGCUCAAAUAGGUCAACAAAAGGCACAAACAACGUGUGUCUGUUCUGUGUUAAUAGGCAGCAAGGAUGUCUGAAACACAUAAACAAAAUGUUGAAAAGAUCCUGUUUACUUUCAUUCUUUUCAAAUAUUUUGUUGUAAUCACCAAAAGACGGCUUUUAACUUUGGUGAAAGUAUUUGGGCUAAAUUUGGGUCUAAAUGUUCUCAUUCUGGCUUAAAGUACUGGAGGUUAUGAAAACAUGUGUAUUUGGAGGAUUCAUGUCAUGUAGGCUACACAGUACAUGUGCACACAAUCCCAAACCUUUACCUACUUUCUUGUUUUAAAAAUGCUGAUUGUAUUUUUAACCUGUCAAAUCCAAGGCAUUUAGAAAUAUGUUGAACACAUAGUCCCAAACCUAUACCUCGUUUUAAAAUACAUGUUGAUUGUAUUUUUAACCUUCAAAUGACAGGCAUUUAGGCAUUGGAAAUAUGUUGAAUAGAAGAGAACAGUUGGACAGAAAGAACAACAGUAUAAUGGGGGAUAAGGACCCACGAGGAAGCAAUUGUUUUUCACAGGACUCUGCUGCUUAGAAUAGAAACCAUGUUCCAAGCCAGUCUACUGAUCAAAGACAGCUACAACCCUCUCCCAACAGUGACCAAGCCAACUCAGGUC
rnacentral:lncRNA from 13 species